rnacentral:rRNA from 1 species
UCCUCCCUCUGGCGGCGUGCUUAACACAUGCAAGUCGAACGGAAAGGCCCUGCUUUUGUGGGGUGCUCGAGUGGCGAACGGGUGAGUAACACGUGAGUAACCUGCCCUUGACUUUGGGAUAACUUCAGGAAACUGGGGCUAAUACCGGAUAGGAGCUCCUGCUGCAUGGUGGGGGUUGGAAAGUUUCGGCGGUUGGGGAUGGACUCGCGGCUUAUCAGCUUGUUGGUGGGGUAGUGGCUUACCAAGGCUUUGACGGGUAGCCGGCCUGAGAGGGUGACCGGCCACAUUGGGACUGAGAUACGGCCCAGACUCCUACGGGAGGCAGCAGUGGGGAAUAUUGCACAAUGGGCGGAAGCCUGAUGCAGCAACGCCGCGUGCGGGAUGACGGCCUUCGGGUUGUAAACCGCUUUCGCCUGUGACGAAGCGUGAGUGGCGGUAAUGGGUAAAGAAGCACCGGCUAACUACGUG